rnacentral:rRNA from 1 species
UACGGAGGGGGCAAGCGUUAUUCGGAAUUACUGGGCGUAAAGGGCGCGUAGGCGGUUUUCUAAGUUGGAUGUGAAAACUCUGGGCUUAACCCAGAGCCUGCAUCCAAAACUGGCAAACUUGAGUACUGGAGGGGAAAGCGGAAUUCCUGGUGUAGCGGUGAAAUGCGUAGAUAUCAGGAGGAACACCGGUGGCGAAGGCGGCUUUCUGGACAGAAACUGACGCUGAGGCGCGAAAGCGAGGGGAGCAAACAGG